AUAAGAAAAUGACAGAUAUCAAAUGUUAAGCGAUGGAAGAUGCCAUACAGUUAACCAUGAAAAAAACUUCCUCUGGUCUCAUCAAUAAAUACUUUCCAGUCCUGUCCCUCCCCCAAAGUGUGGCCUUGUUCAACAAUCAAAGUACAGAGGAGAUGAGCAGCAAUUUCAGUUUGACUUGGGAAGAUUCACAUUUCCAAGGCAAUUCUAUUCUCUCUUUUUACAUGGGGACUUAGGGCAUUGCAACUGGGGAAGAUGUCAGGUUAUCUCCUUCCAAAUCCAGUGGCUCCAGUCCUCUACUUGCAUACUGCAGGCAAUCUCUCAGUGCCCUGAUCAUUACAUGUAAGGUAGGCCAAAAGGGAUGGAGUCUGGCCUAGAAUUUUGCAGCUGUGAGUUUGGGGUUUGAUUCUUGGAUCACUCAAGAUGCGAUUUGGUAUGCCUUACAGGUAAGAAAAGGCCCAUAAUUACCAAGCAAUCUCUUUGAUGCACACAAACACAAAAUCUCUUCUUGAAGGCUAGCCACCACCAACCUCACUGAUGUAGAGCACAUUCAUUCCCCGUGGAAGGGUUUUAUACUCUCCACUCCAGUCACACAGAAAUUCAGGCCCUCUCAACCUUAUACCUUUGCUCCUUGUCCCCCAUCUCACCUCAGGAUUCACCCCUGGGAAGGCCUCCACUACCUACACCUAGCCUCAAAAUUGUCCUAAGAUCUGGGCUGAUGACAGAUUUGACUCCUCUGAUCAGAAUUCUCUGGACAGACCCUGUGGAUCUGUCCUCUCAAAGUAAUGCCCCAAGUCGGCCACCUGACUGGUAUUCCUGUCUGGGACCUGGACAUAACCCUUCUUUUCCACUCUCAGGUAUCAGCCCUCAUUUCUUAUCUCAUCAGUGCUCAUUAAAUAUUUAUAGGUUGGAUGAAUUAAAAAUAGUCUAAAGAAAUUAGGUUGCAGAUGGAUUAACAACAAGAUAUGAUGGGGGGAGAAAAAAGCAGUCAUUAGUAAAUUCUCUUAGCUUUUUCCUUCUCCUUCUGCCUAUAGAAAAGCUUCAAUAGGGUUACCAAAAUCUGCCAUAACAUGGAGGGAAAGACUGAGGAACUAUGGUACUUGGACAGCAGAAAGAUUGGUUUGAUAUACGAGUGUGGUCAAUACAGAAGAGAUUCUUUUGGACGAUAAUUCUGAAGAAUGUGGUAACAACUACAUACAGAAUCAGUGCAUAGGCUGUAAAAGUUCUCAAGUUCAACAACUCUCCUACUUUCAUUGGCUGAUUGUAGAGAGGCCUCCCUGAUUGGCCACCUGGUCAUCUUGAUGCUUCUGCUCUGCAACCUCUCCCAGCGCUUCUUGGAACGACACACAGAACAUACUUGCUCAUGAGCCCAGGCUGGAGCCCUGUUCACAAUGCCUUCCUACAGGCUCUGAUGUUCAGCAUCACACCCAUAUAUUAACUGAUGCUCUGCAGUCUCCUGUGGUCUGUGACCUGUGCGCAUGGAUCACCAGCCCUUUUCUAGCAGACUUCAGAGAGGUGCCCUAGACCCAGCCUUCCACACCCCAUGCCAUCUUCCAAGAACCAUGGUAGGUGAACUUGGCCAAUAGGUUUGGCAAUGAAAUAAGUCAAGCUUCUAAAAGUCAUUUCCAGGGAAUUUUCAGGUUUCUAUAGUUUCAAACCAGACUUUUUGGUUACUCAGAGUAAUUCUGAGAAUAUAUUUUGAACUCUUUUUGGUAACCAAGACCCUUAAAGAAAGAAUUAUACAGUUUUCCCUGACACAUGGAAGAAUUAAUUUGCCUCAACUACCUGACUCUGACUUUCCUAACCAAACUAUGUGUUCUUUGAGUUU